rnacentral:rRNA from 1 species
UAUGCCUAGCCAUUAACACCCGCCCCGCCAGAGAACAACGAGCCAAGCUUAAAACUCAAAGGACUUGGCGGCACUCCAUACCACCCUAGAGGGGCCUGUCAUAUAAUCGAUACCCCACGAUAAACCCAACCACCCCUAGCCCCAUCAGUCUAUAUACCGCCGUCGCCAGCCCAUCUUUAAAAGACCCACAAUGAACAAAAUAGUCUCACACUAAUACGACAGGUCAAGGUGUAGCCUAUGGGGUGGCACUGAUGGACCACAUUGCUACACAGCGGCCAAACCAAAAUUACACUGAAAAUACAAUUUAAGGUGAAUUUAGCAGUAAGACUAACAAGAAAAUUUAUCUAAAAUCUGCUCUGGAGCGUGCACACACCGCCCGUCAC